UGGCUCAUCGGGCCGCGGAUACCUGCUUCCAUUUUU
rnacentral:ncRNA from 1 species